UGACCUUACCUGCAGAACAAGGAGCGGCCAACUACGUGCCAGCAGCCGCGGUGACACGUAGGCUCCAAGCGUUGUCCGGAUUUAUUGGGCGUAAAGAGCUCGUAGGCGGUUGAGUAAGUCGGGUGUGAAAACUCUGGGCUUAACCCGGAGACGCCAUCCGAUACUGCUCUGACUAGAGUUCAGGAGGGGAGUGGGGAAUUCCUAGUGUAGCGGUGAAAUGCGCAGAUAUUAGGAGGAACACCGGUGGCGAAGGCGCCACUCUGGACUGAAACUGACGCUGAGGAGCGAAAGCAUGGGUAGCAAACAGGAUUAGAUACCCUG
rnacentral:rRNA from 1 species